AGAACGAACGCUGGCGGCAUGCCUAAUACAUGCAAGUCGAACGAACUCUUCGGAGUUAGUGGCGCACGGGUGCGUAACGCGUGGGAAUCUGCCCCUUGGUUCGGAAUAACAGUUGGAAACGACUGCUAAUACCGGAUGAUGACGAAAGUCCAAAGAUUUAUCGCCAAGGGAUGAGCCCGCGUAGGAUUAGCUAGUUGGUGAGGUAAAGGCUCACCAAGGCAACGAUCCUUAGCUGGUCUGAGAGGAUGAU
rnacentral:rRNA from 1 species